rnacentral:rRNA from 1 species
UACGAAGGGGGCUAGCGUUGCUCGGAAUGACUGGGCGUAAAGGGCGCGUAGGCGGAUUGUACAGUCAGGCGUGAAAUUCCUGGGCUCAACCUGGGGGGCUGCGUUUGAUACAUAUGGUCUUGAGUUCGGAAGAGGGUCGUGGAAUUCCCAGUGUAGAGGUGAAAUUCGUAGAUAUUGGGAAGAACACCGGUGGCGAAGGCGGCGACCUGGUCCGAUACUGACGCUGAGGCGCGAAAGCGUGGGGAGCAAACAGG